AUGAAAGGAACGAAGGCAAAAACCAUCACGUCCUGUGAUAACGCCUUCGUAACUAACGUCGUGUUAG
rnacentral:sRNA from 1 species